rnacentral:rRNA from 1 species
GAUGAACGCUGACAGAAUGCUUAACACAUGCAAGUCAACUUGAAUUUGGGUUUUUAACUUAGGUUUGGGUGGCGGACGGGUGAGUAACGCGUAAAGAACUUGCCUCACAGCUAGGGACAACAUUUGGAAACGAAUGCUAAUACCUAAUAUUAUGAUAAUAGGGCAUCCUAUAAUUAUGAAAGCUAUAAGCGCUGUGAGAGAGCUUUGCGUCCCAUUAGCUAGUUGGAGAGGUAACGGCUCACCAAGGCGAUGAUGGGUAGCCGGCCUGAGAGGAUGAUCGGCCACAAGGGGACUGAGACACGGCCCUUACUCCUACGGGAGGCAGCAGUGGGGAAUAUUGGACAAUGGACCGAGAGUCUGAUCCAGCAAUUCUGUGUGCACGAUGAAGUUUUUCGGAAUGUAAAGUGCUUUCAGUUGGGAAGAAACAAAUGACGGUACCAACAGAAGAAGUGACGGCUAAAUACGUG